AUUUUAUCUCCUGUAAUGGAUCUACUGGAUCCGGACCACUGUACCACACGCGAGAAAUACUCACAGAGGUAAAACGGGGGGAGACUCCCGCUUAUUUACACACACUCUUGGAGACGGUACGGCUAACGGAUGAGCCUCAGGUAUUACAAGAGUGCAGGUUUUGGUAUAUUCUGUGCUAUAUAAAACAGACAAUUGCAUUCUGUUUUGGAUAUCCGGAAUAUUGCAAACAAACUGCGCAGACAGUUUUUCCCAUAUCAAGAUGACAUGAGAUACGGAGACCUUAAUGGAGCAAAUGGGCACUGCCUUGUUCAGG